CAUGCAAGUCGAACGGAAAGGCCCCUUCGGGGGUACUCGAGUGGCGAACGGGUGAGUAACACGUGGGUAAUCUGCCCUGCACUUCGGGAUAAGCCUGGGAAACUGGGUCUAAUACCGGAUAUGACCACGAGGCGCAUGCCUUGUGGUGGAAAGCUUUUGCGGUGUGGGAUGGACCCGCGGCCUAUCAGCUUGUUGGUGGGGUGACGGCCUACCAAGGCGACGACGGGUAGCCGGCCUGAGAGGGUGUCCGGCCACACUGGGACUGAGAUACGGCCCAGACUCCUACGGGAGGCAGCAGUGGGGAAUAUUGCACAAUGGGCGCAAGCCUGAUGCAGCGACGCCGCGUGGGGGAUGACGGCCUUCGGGUUGUAAACCUCUUUCAGCAGGGACGAAGCGCAAGUGACGGUACCUGCAGAAGAAGCACCGGCCAAC
rnacentral:rRNA from 1 species